GCCUCGAUAGCUCAGUUGGUAGAGCAAGGGACUGAAAAUCCCUGUGUCAUUGGUUCGAUUCCAAUUCGAGGCACCA
rnacentral:tRNA from 1 species